rnacentral:lncRNA from 1 species
ACGGCUAUUAUUUAUUUGAUCCAAUGCUCGCGAUUUUUUUGUGUGGAAUUGGAAAAUGGAGUUGAAAUUGGACCGGUUUAAUUCCGGUUCAUGCUAGACCAGUGCCAUCGAUUCGAGCCGAAGUAAGAUCAGGGUUAUUUUGUCUGAGCGAUCCUUGACUCCGUUCACCGGGAUCCGGCUCGAGUUGUUGGCUCGAACUGGUCCAGCCUGAAUAUAUUGUCUUAUGUCUGUCAAA